rnacentral:rRNA from 1 species
ACCUACGGGAGGCAGCAGUGGGGGAUAUUGCACAAUGGGGGGAACCCUGAUGCAGCGACGCCGCGUGGGUGAAGGAGCGUUUCGGCGCGUAAAGCCCUAUCGGCAGGGAAGAAGAUGACGGUACCUGACCAAGAAGCCCCGGCUAACUACGUGCCAGCAGCCGCGGUAAUACGUAGGGGGCAAGCGUUAUCCGGAUUUACUGGGUUUAAAGGGUGCGUAGGCGGAUUUUCAAGUCAGCGGUAAAAUGUCCGGGCUCAACCCGGGCCGGCCGUUGAAACUGGGGAUCUUGAGUGGGCGAGAAGUAU